rnacentral:lncRNA from 1 species
CUCCAAAUAUGGUAUCCACCUUGUAGAUAGAAACCUUAUCCUAGGUUUGUCGAUUUUUUCGGUGCCUACACCCUUCCCUGGGCCUCUCCGUAUCAUGCUCCCUUCGUCGUGGGGAAACAUCCCUUUGAUGGGGGGCGACCUCACACCCACGUCGAUUGUCGUGUCUGAGCGAGGGCCUGCUCGCCUGGGACGAUUCACUUCUGUCCCUAGGGGGUUCUAGCCGGGAGCGGUGCGCAUAGUCUCGACAAUCUGCUAUGUCGUGUCCGUAGGAUCAGUGGUAUAGACAGUAUCCUGGUGGGUUUUGAUUUGACCUAUUUCUAGGUCCAGAGCACCGGCCUCGACCUCUCUUUCUACAGGAUCCUUGUAGGGUUUCCAUUUGCCGGGUGUCAGUAAUUGGGUUGAUAUCCUCAUAUGCCAAGGUAGGAACCGCGUUCAAAGUGGUGGUGGCAAUUGCUUGGCUAGAACUCUCAUUUCCAGUCUGGUUCAUUUGGUAGUCCAUCAGGUGGGAGGUCGGUCCUCUAGCGCACUGCCUUUGAAGAGGCGGGAGGCCUCUACUUGCCCUGUUCCUAUGUUCAAUCAAUUCUUCAUUGAUGAUUUCCCGCCUCAUCAUCUCGAGUAGGGCAUCAUAGGUGGUGGGAUCUUAAUUUUGCACGUCCCUCCAGAAUAGGGUAUUCAUGUUCAAACCUCCUCUUAAUGCGGAUAGUGCCUCACGGUCGGUGACUUACACACAAUACGUCAUCUCAUUGGUGAAGCAUGAUAGGAAGCUCUUUAGGGACUCCCCAUGUGCUUAUCUCAUGUCUUGGAGACGUUGGAUGGGGGCCUCUCCUUCUUUGCUUAUCGUGAACCUUUUCAAGAAUGCUGUCUUGAACUCGGGCCAACUUCUUAUGCUCCCAGGUGGUAACCUGCUAUAUCAAAUUUCAGUCGCUCCACUAAGUCUCAAAUGGAAAGCUCUGCACUUCACAGCUGGGAUGGCGUCCCUUAGGCUCAUGUGAGUUUUAUAAGCAUUCAAGUGCUUCUUUAGGUCACCUCUUUC